rnacentral:rRNA from 1 species
UGAAGCGGGAAAAGCUCAAAUUUAAAAUCUGGCGGUCUCUGGCUGUCCGAGUUGUAAUCUAGAGAAGUAAUGCCCGUGCUGGACCGUGUAUAAGUCUCCUGGGAUGGGGCGUCAUAGAGGGUGAGAAUCCCGUCUUUGACACGGACUACCAGUGCAUUGUGGUAUGCUCUCAAAGAGUCGAGUUGUUUGGGAAUGCAGCUCAAAAUGGGUGGUAAAUUCCAUCUAAAGCUAAAUAUUGGCGAGAGACCGAUAGCGAACAAGUACCGUGAGGGAAAGAUGAAAAGAACUUUGGAAAGAGAGUUAAACAGUACGUGAAAUUGCUGAAAGGGAAACGCUUGAAGUCAGUCGCGUUGGCCGGGGAUCAGCCUUGCUUUUGCAUGGUGUACUUUCUGGUUGACGGGUCAGCAUCAAUUUUGACCGCUGGAAAAAGACCUGGGGAAUGUGGCAGCUUCGGCUGUGUUAUAGCCCCUAGUCGCAUACAGUGGUUGGGAUUGAGGAACUCAGCACGCCGCAAGGCCGGGUUUCGACCACGUUCGUGCUUAGGAUGCUGGCAUAAUGGCUUUAAGCGACCCGUCUUGAAACACGGACCAAGGAGUCUAACAUGCCUGCGAGUAUUUGGGUGGAAAACCCAAGUGCGUAAUGAAAGUGAAAGUUGAGAUCCCUGUCGUGGGGAGCAUCGACGCCCGGACCAGAACUUUUGGGACGGAUCCGCGGUGGAGCAUGUAUGUUGGGACCCGAAAGAUGGUGAACUAUGCCUGAAUAGGGUGAAGCCAGAGGAAACUCUGGUGGAGGCUCGUAGCGAUUCUGACGUGCAAAUCGAUCGUCAAAUUUGGGUAUAGGGGCGAAAGAC